AUGUCAGGGGACUCACCCAGAUGCUGGCCAAGAUGUCUCGAUGUCCCAGACGUUGUCUUUCUCCUGCCUCAAAAUAAUUCCUUGGAGCAGCAAAAUUCAAGCUGGUGUGGGCUGGAGGAAGACAGGAACACCCUUGAGGCGAAGGUGGCCUCCCCACCCUCUAGGGCGGCCCUUCCUCUUCCCUCCUCUACCGCCUUGGUGUCCCCACUGCCUGCUUGGUGGACCGAGUAUGACUGGGGCUCAGCCUUCUUGACACGGGUCCUCGGGGAUCAGGCCUCUGAAGGAAUCUUCCCAGCGUUCCAACCUUCUGGAAAGAGGCUGCGUGGAGGAAAAAUCUAGAGAGUGUGAUGGAGCCAGGGGACACCCAGGGGGGGUUACCCCUAAGCCAACCCCACACGGGACUCCAAAUUUGUUACCCAAAUUCGGCCUCUGCACACCAAGGCGGAGUGGAGUCUGUAAGAAAGAAGUUUGGGUGAAGUAGAAAGAAAGAGCUUUACUGCUUUGCUAGGAAAAAUGGGCCACAUUGGCCUAGUGCCCCCAGAGCCGUGAGUGCCAGCCUGGAGUGGGUAUGUGGAGUCUUUAGUGUUUAUGGAGCCCUGGCUGGUGUUGAGGCAGUGGGGAGGCCGCAGCAUCAACCUUCUUGUUCCAGCCAGUCUGGGGUCUACCUGCUGUGGACAGCAGUUCACUUGUUCAGCCUGGUGGGGGUUUCGGUAACUGCAAAAUAGCUCACACAUAAGGCACAGAACAUUACCAAGAGACCUUGAGGAAGAAAAGUCCUUGACUUUGUGUGAUGGCUCCAGUAUUAUUAUUUUGUCUUGUUUGACAUUUUCCCCUUCAGGAUUUUCUCACUGCUCUGAUGAAAUUUAUUCUUUGUUUUCCCCCAUCCUCGCCAGAACGCAUGAGGGAUCUUUGUUCCCCGACCUGGAUCCUACCUUCAGCCCAUGAAUUUGACUGGUGGAGUCUUAGCCACCAGACCACCAUGGAAGCCCCUAAAUGGAUUAUUUGGUGAAAGAUUUCCUACAGACAAAAGGCUGGUGGAGGACUUGACUGGGGUUUCUUCUGGGAAAGCCUCAGUGGGUCCUGCUUGGUUACAAUCUGGCCCUUCCCUGGUCUGCCCCUGCCUGGCGUCUCAGCCCUCCAGGAGAAGGAAGUCGGCACAGAAACAGGCAGGAGGCCACAGGAGAGUUCAGAUGCUCUUUAUUUCUUUAGGGAGAAGUGUACACGUUGUCAGGGUGGCUGAGCGGUAAAGAAUAUGCCUGCAGUGCAGCACAUGACGGGCACUUGAGUCUGGUCUCUGGAUGCGUAAGAUCCCCUGGAGUAGGAAAUGGCACGCCACUACAGUAUUUUUGCCUGGAAACCCCAUGGGCAUUGGAGCCUGGGGGGCCACAGUCCAAAGGGUCGCAAAGAACCACUGAACAGGCACACAGGCAGGAAGGUAACAUUCGUGCGGUGCCGGUAACAGCAAACUUUCGGUUUCUAUAUUUGUCCUGGUUCUUACAGUGGAGGAACCAAUACAGGAAGGCAAGCUGGUAAUCUUUGUCUCCUGAACACUGUUACCAUCAUAUCAGUGAUGUCUCUCCAGGUUCAAAUCAGUCUUGUUGGUUAGGCAGGCACAUUUGGAAUGUGUAAAUCAUAAAUCUUGAUCACAAAGAUCCCACAAAAAUAAAUCUUUUAACAUAAAAACGUGUAAGAUUUCG
rnacentral:lncRNA from 1 species